GCUGUCAGCCUCAUUAGAAAGUGAGUAUGGUUAUGAAUGUGGUGCCCCUUGGGCCCAUACCCUUUGUCUUGUCCUGGAGUUCACCUGCCCUCUCCUAAUCGCAUGCAUUAACAAUUGGGCUGUUGUUUCCCCCUCUAGUCUUUUUUCAGGCUUGAUGGAAGGCUGCCACUUGCCUAUAUUCUGCAGAGUAAGAAUUUAAAAGAGAAAUCCAAGAGGCAGGCUUGAGGAAGAGUCAAAUUUACAUUUGAUUAGACUAUCCAGGUUAUUUCUCCUUCUUAUGGAAUCAUCAAGAAAAGGCAAUCUGGAUAAAGCCCAGUUGGUUAGAAAACUGUGAUACUGAAUUGGUGGAGUGAUGAUCAGAUUCAGACAUUUGAUUAAGAUACGAUGUCAUGCUAAGGGAUGGAGGAGUGAAGUCAGCUCACAUGGAAGAACCAAGGCAGAAGAUUUUGUUUCACAUAAGUCUCCCUAGGUGUUCAUUUGCCUGAUUAUCCGGUUCCCCUAUCUGGAUUUUGAGAUCCAGAGCUUUUUAUGGUGAGUACUCUUUCAUGUGUUUCUAUUAUGGCUAGUAUGGAAACUUCCAUGUGUUUGGAAAAUAUUCAUAAUCAUAAUAAGUCUAUAAUGAUCUAAUGUGAAAACAUUUCCCAAAUGUUAACAUGCAUAUGGAAUGUAGGUAGAUCUUAUAAAAAUGCAAACUCUGAUAGAUGUGGGAUUAUGCCUAUAGGUGUGGAUUUCUAGCAAGUUUCCAGGUGAAAUGAAUUCUGCUAGGCUACAGAUCACAUCUUGAAUAGAAAACCCCCACACAUAUAAUUUAAAACACCAUAUCCUCAUGGUGUUAUCUUGUGUUUUUAUUCAGUUUUUCACUUAUGUAGUUCCCUGUUCUCCAAUUAGCAUUUAAAUUCAUUUGUGAAAGAGCCUAUUCCUUAUAUUGAUCUCUUCAUCUAAAAAAAAUUACUUAAUUGCAUGUUAAGCACAUGUAAAAUUAUCGCAUCUGUAGAAAAAAAAGCCCUAUCAAAAACCAAAAUAAUAAUUUCAAAAUAGUAAAUAUGAAAACAAGUUUGACAGAUCAACCAGUUACCAGACCUUAAGUGCCACUUUAAAUUCUGAUAGGUUUUUAAUUAUAACAUGUGUUCC
rnacentral:lncRNA from 12 species